rnacentral:rRNA from 1 species
GGGACACGUGGUAUCCUGUCUGAAUAUGGGGGGACCAUCCUCCAAGGCUAAAUACUCCUGACUGACCGAUAGUGAACCAGUACCGUGAGGGAAAGGCGAAAAGAACCCCGGCGAGGGGAGUGAAAAAGAACCUGAAACCGUGUACGUACAAGCAGUGGGAGCACCUUCGGGUGUGACUGCGUACCUUUUGUAUAAUGGGUCAGCGACUUAUAUUCUGUAGCAAGGUUAACCGUAUAGGGGAGCCGCAGGGAAACCGAGUCUUAACUGGGCGUUAAGUUGCAGGGUAUAGACCCGAAACCCGGUGAUCUAGCCAUGGGCAGGUUGAAGGUUGGGUAACACUAACUGGAGGACCGAACCGACUAAUGUUGAAAAAUUAGCGGAUGACUUGUGGCUGGGGGUGAAAGGCCAAUCAAACCGGGAGAUAGCUGGUUCUCCCCGAAAGCUAUUUAGGUAGCGCCUCGUGAACUCAUCUUCGGGGGUAGAGCACUGUUUCGGCUAGGGGGUCAUCCCGACUUACCAACCCGAUGCAAACUACGAAUACCGAAGAAUGUUAUCACGGGAGACACACGGCGGGUGCUAACGUCCGUCGUGAAGAGGGAAACAACCCAGACCGCCAGCUAAGGUCCCAAAGUCAUGGUUAAGUGGGAAACGAUGUGGGAAGGCACAGACAGCCAGGAUGUUGGCUUAGAAGCAGCC